GGGGAUUUAGCUCAAAGGUAGAGCGCUUGCCUAGCAAGCGCAAGGUCCUGGGUUCGGUCCCCAGCUCCG
rfam:Rattus norvegicus chromosome 3, whole genome shotgun sequence.